rnacentral:rRNA from 1 species
UACGUAGGUGGCAAGCGUUGUCCGGAUUUAUUGGGCGUAAAGCGAGCGCAGGCGGUUUCUUAAGUCUGAGGUGAAAGCCCCCGGCUAAACCGGGGAGGGGCCUUGGAAACUGGGGGACUUGAGUGCAAAAGAGGGGAGUGGAAUUCCAUGUGUAGCGGUGAAAUGCGUAGAUAUAUGGAGGAACACCAGUGGCGAAAGCGGCGCUCUGGGCUGUAACUGACGCUGAGGCUCGAAAGCGUGGGGAGCAAACAGG